CUCGCACCCACGAAUAACUGAAUCCCGCGGGACGGGAUAAGUGGCGCCCAACAUGGGGCUGGAAGGAGACAUUUUGCAGGGCAGAGUGCCUUCAUCAAAUUCCACCUAUGAUUGAAAAACAAGGAAAGAAAGCAAAUGUCUGGAACAUUGAGUUCCAAAGAGCAAAUUAAGUCAUAUCAACAACAAAGAUAUAAAAAUGAAAUGAAAACAAAUGAAGAGACAAGAACCCAAGCUCUGUGGCUAAGCUAAAACAACGUAUGGGAUCCCUGUGCUGCCUUGCCCCUAAGCCUCAUUUCAUAGAAGCCAAGCAGCUUAGACUGUAGCAGUGACUUCCUGUUUGCUCCUGCUGCCUGUCCAUCUACCAAGUCUGUCCUGCUAGCAUAUUGAAAGAAACCUCAGAUGUCUAGUAAACCAUGGGUUAAACCAACAAACUCAAUCUUCUAAAAUAACACCAGCCUGCCAUUCAGGUGUAUCAGUCCUUGUGAGCCACUGGACCACUGGCAACAAUUUGGCGCCCAGACUGGAACCUGAAGAAGUUUAGGAGGACGCUGAGGGAACGCUGUUUUGUGUGGAGCUCCACGGAAGAAAAAGAAAAAGAAAAGGAUUGUAUCGGACAAUGAAGCAACAGAAAAAGAAGUUGUAGCGAGAUGGCUGCCUGAGAGAUUAGUUCGUCAACUGGACACAGAUCCUGAAUCUUCUAGUAAGUA
rnacentral:lncRNA from 1 species